UUUGCUAUUAUUAGUUUGCUAUCAGUUUGCUAUCAGUCUUUUGUAAUAAAUGUCUCAAGAUCAAUAAAGAAUAAUAAUAAUAAUAUUAUUAUUAUUAUUAUUAUUAUUAUUAUUAUUAUUAUUAUUAUUAUUAUUAUUAUUAUUAUUAUUAUUAUUAUUAUUAUUAUUAUUAUUAUUAUUAUUAUUAUUAUUAUUAUUAUUAUUAUUAUUAUUAUUAUUAUGUCUUGUGUUUCUCCACUUUAUUUUUGUAAGAAAGCAGAAAACAAGUAUGGGGGAGAUCCCUCGACAUGCUAAACACACUCCGACUACACCACUCCAUGAUUCAGGUACACACUCUGCACACUUUACUUUACACAUAUAUACAUCUUGGAUUAUGCAGAAUAUUGUUUCCGACAUGAUAAAUUAAAAAGAUUAAAAUAUUUCUAAUCAUGAUUAAUCUCAAUUUGUGAUAUUUCCUGAAAACUUGCAAUUAUUAUAAAAUCAUUUUAAAACCCUGUGUACUUAAGUCAAUAUGGAAUAUGUGAUGGUAGAGUAUGAGUUUCUUAUUCUUGAUAUCAUUGUUGCUUGGAGAAUUUAUUUCAAAAUAUUCAAAAUUCUAGCUACCAUCCUCAGUGUUUUAUAUGCCUGAUAACACUGAAAAUAUUAAUUAUGAUUAUAAAAGCUAUCUACUCUGUAUUGAGUUUGUUCAAAAUGAGUUAGACCCUUGUUGAGAGAUUUAUCAUGCUCCUAAGAUCAAGACAUUAUUUCAGUAAGAUUCACUCUUCCGAAGUAUUAUUGCAUUAGAGGCAUGGGCUAUGCAAAAAUAGAAAUAUUUCGAGGAAAUAAAAAGGAGCAAGUGCUCGACAACCUCGCAGAAAAAAUGGACAAGUGUCCGGCAGUAGAAUUAGGGGUACCUCGGUAUCCACUUAAAAAAAAAGAAAGAAAAAGAGAGAAAAAAUGAUAGCCCAUGGUCCCUCUAAUAAGCAAUAUGCCUGUAAGAGUUGACAAAGAUUUUAAUUUCCAAAGUCUUUGAUCUAAGAGUAUGACAUUUCCCUCCUCGGAUCCCGUUUUGAUCAAGCAAUAAAUGCAAAGUAAGUAUGCUUGAGAAUUUUUGCAAAAUAAAACAGCCUUAGUGAGAUAUAUAUAUAUAAAAGAUAAUGAGUGAUCUGAGAGAACCUAUGAGGAUAAAAAGGUAUGCUAACUUUCUUUCAAAAAUAUACAAAAACUCCAAGUGGCAGGAUUGAGAAGAAAGGAUCUUUACUCUUAACCAUAUACUUCCCUGACUAUGGUACACAGUGGAAUUUUAACACCCUGCAAUUAUAAAGAGAAUGUUUUAAAUGUUUACCCCAGAUAUUGUUCUUAACCAUCCUUUUCUCGAGGACGAGUAAAAGCCUAAGUAUGGGGGUAUUUGUUGACGGUUCUUAAGUAUCAAUUUUAAUUAUCAAAUAAACAAGAGAAAGGACGAAUAUGCAACCAACACCUAGAAUUAGGGUUUGAUCUGACAGAAUUCCACGAGUUUUGUUGUUUAUCUAUUUCUGCAGGGGGUUAUCAGGAAAUAAGGAAGAAAGGUCCACAUGUCAGGAUUACAUAGAGAUAUCAACGCACCGCGCAAUUUUACAUCAUCUAGAAGACUCCAGAAGCCACGAGACCGAAGCAGAGGCAAAACUGGGCCAGGCCCAGGGCGCCCGCCCUGGUAGCCUGGGCGCCCGCCCCCCUGUUGGAGCCAAUUCAGGACUCCUUCGCUCGGGAUAUUCCACCGACCUAUUGGAUCAAGAAAAACAUAGUACCACCUCGCCUAUCGACCCAAAAACGCAUAGAAGGGGAGGACUAUAUAAGCAAGGCCCCCCUGGCCCCUGGAGAAGACAUGAAGAAAUUAUCAUAGAGACUGUGGGGUGCCCUCAAAGGAAAACCUCUUCUCUAAUUAAUAUUUCUUUUUAGGCUUAGCAUUCAAUGUAAGGUAGAAAUAGAUCUUCUAGUUUCUACUAGAUUGAGAGAGAUAGAGUGGAGGUGUAGAGUGGAGGAAGCCGGUCUGUCGGUGUUUACUCCAAGCUUGUACC
rnacentral:lncRNA from 1 species